GGAGGAAGGCGGGGAUGACGUCAAGUCAGUAUGGCCCUUAUGUCCUGGGCCACACACACGCUACAAUGGGUGGUACAAUGGGUUGCAAUGGAGUGAUCCGGAGCUAAUCCUGAAAAACCAUCCUCAGUUCGGAUUGCAGGCUGAAAUUCGCCUGCAUGAAGUCGGAGUUGCUAGUAACCGCGCAUCAGCUUGGCGCGGUGAAUACGUUCUCGGGCCUUGUACACACCGCCCGUCACGUCAUGAAAGUCGGCAACACCUGAAGCCGAUGAGCUAACCCGCAAGGGAGGCAGUUGUCUAGGGUGGGGUCGGUAAUUGGGACGAAGUCGUAACAAGGUAGCCGUAGCGGAAGCUGCGGCUGGAUCACCUCCUUU
rnacentral:ncRNA from 1 species